rnacentral:rRNA from 1 species
UGGGGAAUAUUGCACAAUGGGCGCAAGCCUGAUGCAGCCAUGCCGCGUGUAUGAAGAAGGCCUUCGGGUUGUAAAGUACUUUCAGUCGGGAGGAAGGUGUCAAGGUUAAUAACCUUGGCAAUUGACGUUACCGACAGAAGAAGCACCGGCUAACUCCGUGCCAGCAGCCGCGGUAAUACGAAGGGUGCAAGCGUUAAUCGGAAUUACUGGGCGUAAAGCGCACGCAGGCGGUUGAUUGAGUCAGAUGUGAAAUCCCCGGGCUUAACCCGGGAAUUGCAUCUGAUACUGGUCAGCUAGAGUCUUGUAGAGGGGGGUAGAAUUCCAUGUGUAGCGGUGAAAUGCGUAGAGAUGUGGAGGAAUACCGGUGGCGAAGGCGGCCCCCUGGACAAAGACUGACGCUCAGGUGCGAAGGCGUGGGGAGCAAACAGG